GCCUGGGUGGCUGAGUUGGUUUAGCAUCUGAUUUCGGCUCAGGUCAUGAUCUCACAGUUCAUGGGUUUGAGCCCCGCAUCAGGCU
rnacentral:tRNA from 1 species